rnacentral:rRNA from 1 species
GAUGAACGCUAGCGGCGUGCCUCAAACAUGCAAGUCGAGCGGGGCUAUGUAAUAUCGCAAGGUAGAACAUAGCCUAGCGGGAACGGGUGAGUAACACGUGGGUAACCCGCCUGGAAGACAGGGAUAACGAUUCGAAAGGGUCGCUAAUACCUGAUAAUAUCCUUUCAUCGCAUGGUGAUAGGAAGAAAGGGGAAACCCGCUUUCAGAUGGGCCCGCGUCCCAUCAGCUAGUUGGUAAGGUAAAGGCUUACCAAGGCGACGACGGGUAGCCGGUCUGAGAGGAUGUACGGCCACACUGGGACUGAGAUACGGCCCAGACUCCUACGGGAGGCAGCAGUUGGGAAUCUUAGGCAAUGGACGAAAGUCUGACCUAGCGACGCCGCGUGAGGGAAGAAGGCCUUCGGGUUGUAAACCUCUGUCAUGGGGGAAGAAGUAAGUGACGGUACCCCAAGAGGAAGCCCCUGCUAACUACGUG